ACAGCUGGCUUAAGACCAAAGAAGAGGAGAAUAAGAUCAGCGAAAUAAUUGUCAUCAAUUCAUCGUCUUAUGAACUUGGUGUUCUGCUGGGUAGAGGAGGC